UUGAGAUGGGCCUUGCGGUGCAUUAGCUAGUUUGGUGGGGGUAACGGCCCACCAAGGCGACGAUGCAUAGCCGACCUGAGAGGGUGAUCGGCCACACUGGGACUGAGACACGGCCCAGACUCGUACGGGAGGCAGCAGUAGGGAAUCUUCCACAAUGGACGAAAGUCUGAUGGAGCAACGCCGCGUGAGUGAUGAAGGUUUUCGGAUCGUAAAACUCUGUUGUAAGGGAAGAACACGUACGAGAGGGAAUGCUCGUACCUUGACGGUACCUUACGAGAAAGCCACGGCUAACUACGUGCCAGCAGCCGCGGUAAUACGUAGGUGGCAAGCGUUGUCCGGAAUUAUUGGGCGUAAAGCGCGCGCAGGCGGCCUUUUAAGUCUGAUGUGAAAGCCCCCGGCUCAACCGGGGAGGGCCAUUGGAAACUGGAAGGCUUGAGUACAGAAGAGAAGAGUGGAAUUCCACGUGUAGCGGUGAAAUGCGUAGAGAUGUGGAGGAACACCAGUGGCGAAGGCGACUCUUUGGUCUGUAACUGACGCUGAGGCGCGAAAGCGUGGGGAGCAAACAGGAUUAGAU
rnacentral:rRNA from 2 species